rnacentral:misc_RNA from 1 species
UCUCCGUAGGUGAACCUGCGGAGGGAUCAUUACAGAGUUCAUGCCCUACCGGGUAGAUCUCCCACCCCAUGUUAUUAUUACUUUGUUGCUUUGGCGGGCCGUUAGGCUCCGGCCCGACUACCGGCCCCGGCUGGUAAGCGCCCGCCAGAGGACCCAAAACCCUGAAUAUUAGUGUCGUCUGAGUACUAUAUAAUAGUUAAAACUUUCAACAACGGAUCUCUUGGCUCUG